rnacentral:rRNA from 1 species
UGGGGAAUAUUGCGCAAUGGGCGAAAGCCUGACGCAGCGACGCCGCGUGAAGGAUGAAGGUCUUAGGAUUGUAAACUUCUGUUAAGUGGGAGGAAAGAACAAGCUUUAAUACAGCCUGGUGAUGACUGUACCAUUAAAGAAAGCACCGGCUAACUUCGUGCCAGCAGCCGCGGUAAUACGAAGGGUGCGAGCGUUAUUCGGAAUCAUUGGGCGUAAAGGGUGUGUAGGCGGCAUGAUAAGUCAAUUGUUAAAUACCCCAGCCUAACUGGGAAAAUGCAGUAGAUACUGUCUGUGCUAGAGAAUGGAAGAGAGAAGUGGAAUUCUUGGAGUAGCGGUAAAAUGCGUAGAUCUCAAGAGGAACACCGAUGGCGAAGGCAGCUUCUUGGUCCAUUUCUGACGCUAAUGCACGAAAGCGUGGGGAGCAAACAGGAUUAGAUACCCCUGUAGUCC